GACGAGCAUCACAAACGUUAUUCGGAAUUACUGGGCUUAAAGGGUGCGUAGGCGGUGCAGCGAGUCGGGAGUGAAAUCCCACAGCUCAACUGUGGAAUUGCUUUCGAUACUGCUGUGCUUGAGUGAGACAGAGGUAAGCGGAACUUAGGGUGGAGCGGUGAAAUGCGUUGAUAUCCUAAGGAACACCGGUGGCGAAGGCGGCUUACUGGGUCUCUACUGACGCUGAUGCACGAAAGCCAGGGUAGCGAACGGG
rnacentral:rRNA from 1 species